rnacentral:rRNA from 1 species
UCAGGACGAACGCUGGCGGCGUGCUUAACACAUGCAAGUCGAACGAUGAAGCCCUUCGGGGUGGAUUAGUGGCGAACGGGUGAGUAACACGUGGGCAAUCUGCCCUUCACUCUGGGACAAGCCCUGGAAACGGGGUCUAAUACCGGAUAACACCUGCCCGGGCAUCCGGGUGGGUUAAAAGCUCCGGCGGUGAAGGAUGAGCCCGCGGCCUAUCAGCUUGUUGGUGAGGUAGUGGCUCACCAAGGCGACGACGGGUAGCCGGCCUGAGAGGGCGACCGGCCACACUGGGACUGAGACACGGCCCAGACUCCUACGGGAGGCAGCAGUGGGGAAUAUUGCACAAUGGGCGAAAGCCUGAUGCAGCGACGCCGCGUGAGGGAUGACGGCCUUCGGGUUGUAAACCUCUUUCAGCAGGGAAGAAGCGAAAGUGACGGUACCUGCAGAAGAAGCGCCGGCUAACUACGUGCCAGCAGCCGCGGUAAUACGUAGGGCGCAAGCGUUGUCCGGAAUUAUUGGGCGUAAAGAGCUCGUAGGCGGCUUGUCACGUCGGGUGUGAAAGCCCGGGGCUUAACCCCGGGUCUGCAUUCGAUACGGGCUAGCUAGAGUGUGGUAGGGGAGAUCGGAAUUCCUGGUGUAGCGGUGAAAUGCGCAGAUAUCAGGAGGAACACCGGUGGCGAAGGCGGAUCUCUGGGCCAUUACUG